GGGUUGUUAGCUCAGUUGGUAGAGCAUCUGACUUUUAAUCAGGAUGUCGCAGGUUCGAUCCCUGCACAACCCACCA
rnacentral:tRNA from 1 species